rnacentral:rRNA from 1 species
GACGUAGGGCGCGAGCGUUGUCCGGAUUUAUUGGGCGUAAAGAGCUCGUAGGCGGCUUGUUGCGUCGGCUGUGAAAUCCCGUGGCUUAACUGCGGGCUUGCAGCUGAUACGGGCGGGCUGGAGUUCGGUAGGGGAGACUGGAAUUCCUGGUGUAGCGGUGAAAUGCGCAGAUAUCGGGAGGAACACCGGUGGCGAAGGCGGUUCUCUGGGCCUUACCUGACGCUGAGGAGCGAAAGCGUGGGGAGCAAACAGG